AGCGAACGCUGGCGGCAGGCCUAACACAUGCAAGUCGAGCGGCCGUAGCAAUACGGCAGCGGCAGAUGGGAGAGUAACACGUGGGAACGCGCCCUUCGGUUCGGGAUAACUCAGGGAAACUUGAGCUAAUACCGGAUACGCCCUUACGGGGAAAGAUUUAUUGCCGAAGGAACGGCCCGCGUCCGAUUAGCUUGUUGGUGAGGUAACGGCUCACCAAGGCGACGAUCGGUAGCUGGUCUGAGAGGAUGACCAGCCUCACUGGUACUGAGACACGGCCCAGACUCCUACGGGAGGCAGCAGUGGGGAAUAUUGGACAAUGGGCGCAAGCCUGAUCCAGCCAUGCCGCGUGGGUGAUGAAGGCCCUAGGGUUGUAAAGCCCUUUCAGCGGGGAAGAUAAUGACGGUACCCGCAGAAGAAGCCCCGGCUAACUUCGUGCCAGCAGCCGCGGUAAUAC
rnacentral:rRNA from 1 species